AUUAGAUGGCUGAAAGCAAGCACUGGUCUCUUAAACCAUAAAAUAGUAAAUUAGCAAUUACUUCUAAUGAU
rnacentral:tRNA from 1 species